AAACUGCGAUAAGUAGUGUGAAUUGCAUUUAGUGAAUCAUCGAAUCUUUGAACGCACCCUGCACUCACUGGUAUUCCGGUGAGUACGCCUGUUUCAGUAUCAUUGAAAACACACAAUCAAAACAUUUUCUUUGGUUUGAUUGGCUUUGGGUCUAUCAAAAAGUUUGGCUUGUUUCUUACAAGCCAAGCGUCCUGAAAUAUAUUGUCUGGCUAAUUGCAUCGUUGAUGAUCGCUAUUAGACUUUGGCUUUUUUAAAUGAACUGGAGGUUGAUUAACCAGUUUUAGCUUUAGUCAAAUGGUCAUUGUAAAAAAAAUCUCGAUCUUGGCUAGGUGUUUAUAGCCGAAAAUUUUUUUUUGGCUAUAACCGAAACCAAUAUAAUCACAUUUAGUUAUCGAUCUGAAAUCAGGUGGGACUACCCGCUGAACUUAAGC
rnacentral:misc_RNA from 1 species